rnacentral:lncRNA from 1 species
CCAAAAGAAAAGAAAAAAAAAACUCGUUACAAUCUAGUAUUGCCUGCAGGAUCGUACUGCAACUCUGCUGUGACAUUGAUGGUCAAGAUUGUGCGUGAAUGCGCCGAGCAAAGACGAAAUCUUUGUCUCGUACUGCUGCAGUCCUUGGAUACGCAUAAUGAGAUGAAGCCCUGUACAGUCUACAGGACUACAGGCACAGUACAGUCACGGGCCGAGUGAAUGUCUACUGAGAGGCACCGCGAUACAUUACAGCGAGCUUUGUAAGGGCUGGGCUUUAACCCAUCCGGUACUGUUCGACCAAGACCAGGCAUUUAGAGGGACCAAGCUCACCAAAGGCAGCUUUUUUUUUUUCCUUGCCCUUUUUUCAAUGCGACUUUGCAUAAGAACUGAUGCUGGAAAGAGAGGAACAGGAGCUGCAAGGCUCACC